rnacentral:rRNA from 1 species
UGAGGAAUAUUGGUCAAUGGACGCAAGUCUGAACCAGCCAAGUAGCGUGCAGGAUGACGGCCCUAUGGGUUGUAAACUGCUUUUAUAUGGGGAUAAAGUGGGGAACGUAUUCCCUUUUGCAGGUACCAUAUGAAUAAGGACCGGCUAAUUCCGUGCCAGCAGCCGCGGUAAUACGGAAGGUCCAGGCGUUAUCCGGAUUUAUUGGGUUUAAAGGGAGCGUAGGCUGUUUGUUAAGCGUGUUGUGAAAUGUAAGAGCUCAACUUUUAGAUUGCAUCGCGAACUGGCAGACUUGAGUGCGCACAACGUAGGCGGAAUUCAUGGUGUAGCGGUGAAAUGCUUAGAUAUCAUGACGAACUCCGAUUGCGAAGGCAGCUUACGGGAGCGCAACUGACGCUAAAGCUCGAAGGUGCGGGUAUCGAACAGG